UGGCUUAGUGGUUAAGAGUUUGGCUGCUAACCAAAAGGUGGGUAGUUCAAAUCUAGC
rnacentral:tRNA from 1 species